rnacentral:rRNA from 1 species
CGUGUAGGCGGUCUGGCAAGUCGGUUGUGAAAUCCCCGGGCUCAACCCGGGAACUGCAUCCGAAACUGCCGGGCUAGAGUUUCGGAGAGGAAGGCAGAAUUCCCAAUGUAGGGGUGAAAUCCGUAGAUAUUGGGAGGAAUACCAGUGGCGAAGGCGGCCUUCUGGACGAUGACUGACGCUGAGACGCGAAAGCGUGGGGAGCAAACAGGAUUAGAUACCCUGGUAGUCCACGCCGUAAACGGUGCGCACUAGGUGUCGGGGGUAUUCACCCCUCCGGUGCCGCAGCUAACGUACUAAGUGCGCCGCCUGGGAAGUACGGCCGCAAGGCUAAA